GSAGGGAAACGAAUGCAGCCAUGAAGGCUCCGUUCAGGUUCAGGGCUCUUGGUCGCGUGCGUUGGAAGUGGCGGACCCUUUUUGGGCCGUGCAAACCGCGUGCUGCAAAGAGCAAUCCCGUUCGGAGCCCGCCAACGGUGGCCAAUCCUGGGCGACGAGGGGGACUUAUAGCCUUCGGCGGCGGAGGAGAGCGCUGCAGCGUACCGGGUCGCUUCUGUUCUUGCCUUCGCGUCGAGGGCAGUGUCCGGCGACGGUAAGUGCGCUCRUUCGGAAGGCGGGCCACGAUCUGCGCUGCGGUCGUUGGUGUGUGUAUGGCUCCAUCCGACCCGUCUUGAAACACGGACCAAGGAGUGCAAGAGGCGUGCAAGUCUUUGGGUUGGAGACCCUUGGGCGCAAUGAAAGUGAAGGGGGGCCCCAUCGUCGACCGAUCCCGGGCUGCUCUGCGGUGGGAUUCGAGUGAGAGCAUGCCUGUUGCGACCCGAAAGAUGGUGAACUAUGCCUGAAUAGGGCGAAGCCAGAGGAAACUCUGGUGGAAGCUCGCAGCGGUUCUGACGUGCAAAUCGAUCGUCAAAUUUGGGUAUAGGGGCGAAAGACUAAUCGAACCGUCUAGUAGCUGGUUCCCUCCGAAGUUUCCCCCAGGACAGCUGGAGCCCGGUGCAGUUUUAUCAGGUAAAGCGAAUGAUUAGAGGUCUUGGGGUUGAAACAACCUCAACCUAUUCUCAAACUUUAAAUGGGUAAGAAGCUCGGCUUGCUCGGUUGAAGUCGGGCGUGGAAUGCCGGGGCUCCUAGUGGGCCAUUUUUGGUAAGCAGAACUGGCGAUGCGGGAUGAACCGAACGCUGGGUUAAGGUGCCCGAAUCGACGCUCAUCAGAUCCCAUAAAAGGUGUUGGUUGAUCUAGACAGCAGGACGGUGGCCAUGGAAGUCGGAACCCGCUAAGGAGUGUGUAACAACUCACCUGCCGAAUCAACUAGCCCUGAAAAUGGAUGGCGCUGAAGCGUCGUACCCACACCCGGCCGAGCGUUGCGUCCCGACGAGUAGGAGGGCGCGGCGGUGUGCAUCCCGAGGCGUGAGCCUGGGCGAAGCCGCCGCCGGUGCAGAUCUUGGUGGUAGUAGCAAAUAUUCAAAUGAGGGGUUUAAAGACUGAAGUGGAGAAGGGUUCCAUGUGACCAUCGGUUGGACAUGGGUUAGUCGAUCCUAAGAGACGGGAGAGUUCCCUGCGUAGGGGCUCGUGCGAGUGCGCCGCGACUCGAAAGGGAAUCGGGUUAACAUUCCCGAACCGGGAUGCGGAUGUCAGCGGCAACGCCAGCGACCUCGGAGACGUCGGCGAGAACCCCGGCAAGAGUUGUCUUUUCUUGUUAACGGGCGAA
rnacentral:rRNA from 1 species